rnacentral:ncRNA from 1 species
AGAAUAUUUAGGCAUACUUGUCGAAAGGCAAGGACGCAAAGCUAUGGGUCUAAAGGCCGUUAACGCCUAUGAUUGCCAGGUUGCACAU